rnacentral:rRNA from 1 species
AAAUUGAAGAGUUUGAUCAUGGCUCAGAUUGAACGCUGGCGGCAGGCCUAACACAUGCAAGUCGAGCGGUAGCACAGGGAGCUUGCUCCUGGGUGACGAGCGGCGGACGGGUGAGUAAUGUCUGGGAAACUGCCUGAUGGAGGGGGAUAACUACUGGAAACGGUAGCUAAUACCGCAUAAUGUCGCAAGACCAAAGAGGGGGACCUUCGGGCCUCUUGCCAUCAGAUGUGCCCAGAUGGGAUUAGCUAGUAGGUGGGGUAACGGCUCACCUAGGCG